rnacentral:rRNA from 1 species
GACGAACGCUGGCGGCGUGCUUAACACAUGCAAGUCGUACGGUAAGGCCCUUUCGGGGGUACACGAGUGGCGAACGGGUGAGUAACACGUGAGUAACCUGCCCACAACUUUGGGAUAACGCUAGGAAACUGGUGCUAAUACUGGAUAUGUGCUCCUGCUGCAUGGUGGGGGUUGGAAAGCUCCGGCGGUUGUGGAUGGACUCGCGGCCUAUCAGCUUGUUGGUGGGGUAGUGGCCUACCAAGGCGGCGACGGGUAGCCGGCCUGAGAGGGUGACCGGCCACAUUGGGACUGAGAUACGGCCCAGACUCCUACGGGAGGCAGCAGUGGGGAAGAUUGCACAAGAGGCGCAAGCCUGAUGCAGCAACGCCGCGUGCGGGAUGACGGCCUUCGGGUUGUAAACCGCGUUCAGCAGGGACGAAGCUUUUUGUGACGGUACCUGCAGAAGAAGCACCGGCUAACUACGUG